rnacentral:rRNA from 1 species
AGGCGAUGGAUAACAGGUUGAUAUUCCUGUACCACCUAGUAUCGUUUUAAUCGAUGGGGGGACGCAGUAGGAUAGGCGAAGCGUGCUGUUGGAGUGCACGUCCAAGCAGUAAGGCUGAGUGUUAGGCACAUCCGGCACUCAUGAGGCUGAGCUGUGAUGGGUAGAGGAAAUUGGUUCCUCGAGUCGUUGAUUUCACACUGCCGAGAAAAGCCUCUAGAUAGAUAACAGGUGCCCGUACCGCAAACCGACACAGGUAGUCAAGAUGAGAAUUCUAAGGUGAGCGAGCGAACUCUCGUUAAGGAACUCGGCAAAAUGACCCCGUAACUUCGGGAGAAGGGGUGCUCUUUAGGGUUCACGCCCAGAAGAGCCGCAGUGAAUAGGCCCAAGCGACUGUUUAUCAAAAACACAGGUCUCUGCUAAACCGUAAGGUGAUGUAUAGGGGCUGACGCCUGCCCGGUGCUGGAAGGUUAAGAGGAGUGGUUAGCUUCUGCGAAGCUACGAAUCGAAGCCCCAGUAAACGGCGGCCGUAACUAUAACGGUCCUAAGGUAGCGAAAUUCCUUGUCGGGGAAGUUCCGACCCGCACGAAAGGCGUAAUGAUUUGGGCACUGUCUCAACGAGAGACUCGGUGAAAUCAUAGUACCUGUGAAGAUGCAGGUUACCCGCGACAGGACGGAAAGACCCCGUGGAGCUUUACUGUAGCCUGAUAUUGAAAUUCGGCACAGCUUGUACAGGAUAGGUAGGAGCCUUUGAAACGUGAGCGCUAGCUUACGUGGAGGCGUUGGUGGGAUACUACCCUAGCUGUGUUGGCUUUCUAACCCGCACCACUUAUCGUGGUGGGAGACAGUGUCAGGCGGGCAGUUUGACUGGGGCGGUCGCCUCCUAAAAGGUAACGGAGGCGCUCAAAGGUUCCCUCAGAAUGGUUGGGAAGCAUUCAUAGAGUGUAAAGGGCAUAAGGGAGCUUGACUGCGAGACCUACAAGUCGAGCAGGGUCGAAAGACGGACUUAGUGAUCCGGUGGUUCCGCAUGGAAGGGCCAUCGCUCACCGGAUAAAAGCUACCCCGGGGAUAACAGGCUUAUCUCCCCCAAGAGUUCACAUCGACGGGGAGGUUUGGCACCUCGAUGUCGGCCCAUCGCAUCCUGGGGCUGUAGUCGGUCCCAAGGGUUGGGCUGUUCGCCCAUUAAAGCGGUACGCGAGCUGGGUUUAGAACGUCGUGAGACAGUUCGGUCCCUAUCCGUCGUGGGCGUAGGAAAUUUGAGAGGAGCUGUCCUUAGUACGAGAGGACCGGGAUGGACAUACCUCUGGUGUACCAGUUGUCGUGCCAACGGCAUAGCUGGGUAGCUAUGUAUGGACGGGAUAAGUGCUGAAAGCAUCUAAGCAUGAAGCCCCCCUCAAGAUGAGAUUUCCCAACUUCGGAUAUAAGAUCCCUCGAAGAUGACGAGGUUAAUAGGUUCGAGGUGGAAGCGUGGUGACACGUGGAGCUGACGAAUACUAAUCGAUCGAAGACUUAAUCAAUUUUUAAA